GCCUUAAACUGCUUUAAAGAAAGACGUACAGCCAUUUGCGUGAAGGCCUGUGAGUUUGGCCGGUGCUCUAUGUCCUAUAGGUCCCUGACGGAGUGCGGAGUGUUGGGAAGAUACUGGGAACGGCGAAGAGAAUGUCAGAAGUGCUUCACAAACCAUCCCUCCUGCGAACGUUUUCUGAGCAUCUGUUUGAGGAAGGCGGUGCUGACGGUGCACUGAUGAGCCAGCCCCUUUCCCCAGCAAAGACGCUCACAGUCUGGGAGGGAGACCGGUUACAUCGGAGUAACUAGGGGUGUCUGCACGGUGCUAGAGGUGCAGAGGAGAGGGAAAACCUUAUACUUCCUUGGUGCCUCAGGAAAACUUCAUAAAGGAGGUAGCAUUAAGGCCGAGGCUAGGGAGACUGCCUCAUAUGGUGCAACGUUGAGGAUUUAAUUUCUCUCAGAAGGAAAGGAGUUCUGAGUCCCAUACAGAAAACUCUUCUUCAGCUGGAAGGAUGUCAAAAAGACGGGUCUCCAAAGCCAACGGUCUCCUGUACCAUGUGGAUCUCUGCAAGCAGAGCCUCAUCUUUCAGUUUCAGCUGCAUGAGAGGAAGGAAGGGAAGGACGUUUGUCAUGCCUGAUACACCUAUGUAGAGACCCCUCACCUGUGGGGCCACAGCUAAAGGUCGUAAUUCCUUGGGAUGGAAUUGGCCUUUCCUAUAUUCCCUACCUCAUGGAAAUGCCAUGAAAGGAACUCAGAACAUUUUGCUGAUUACAUGUUCACUUUAUGAAAAUUCAUCAAGUG